UACGUAGGGGGCAAGCGUUGUCCGGAUUUAUUGGGCGUAAAGAGCGUGUAGGCGGCCAGAUAGGUCCGUUGUGAAAACUCGAGGCUCAACCUCGAGAUGUCGGCGGAAACCAUCUGGCUAGAGUCCGGAAGAGGAGAGUGGAAUUCCUGGUGUAGCGGUGAAAUGCGCAGAUAUCAGGAAGAACACCCGUGGCGAAGGCGGCUCUCUGGGACGGUACUGACGCUGAGACGCGAAAGCGUGGGGAGCGAACAGG
rnacentral:rRNA from 1 species